rnacentral:hammerhead_ribozyme from 1 species
AUCCAGUGAUGAGUGCCAAAUAGGACGAAAUGCGCGUUAUCCUGGAU